rnacentral:rRNA from 1 species
GAUGAACGCUGGCGGCGUGCCUAAUACAUGCAAGUCGAGCGAACGGACGAGAAGCUUGCUUUUCUGAUGUUAGCGGCGGACGGGUGAGUAACACGUGGAUAACCUACCUAUAAGACUGGGAUAACUUCGGGAAACCGGAGCUAAUACCGGAUAAUAUUUUGAACCGCAUGGUUCAAAAGUGAAAGACGGUCUUGCUGUCACUUAUAGAUGGAUCCGCGCUGCAUUAGCUAGUUGGUAAGGUAACGGCUUACCAAGGCAACGAUGCAUAGCCGACCUGAGAGGGGGAUCGGCCACACUGGAACUGAGACACGGUCCAGACUCCGCCGGGAGGCAGCAGUAGGGAAUCUUCCGCAAUGGGCGAAAGCCUGACGGAGCAACGCCGCGUGAGUGAUGAAGGUCUUCGGAUCGUAAAACUCUGUUAUUAGGGAAGAACAGAUGUGUAAGUAACUGUGCACGUCUUGACGGUACCUAAUCAGAAAGCCACGGCUAACUACGUG